ensembl:lncRNA
CGACAGCCAAGAUGAUGAAGUAGUUUCUGAGGUGACAGCUGAAGCAGAUCAUGAUUAUGCAGUCACUCCUCUUCCAGACUUGCUGGAGCCUGGUGAUGUCUGUAUGGCUGACAAAGGAUUCACCAUUAAGAAGAUGCUUAUUUUUUAUGUGUUAUUUGCUGUUUUACCAUGAUCUGUCUGAAUACUUGAUUCUUAUUGGCUGGAAGUGUGCAGUAAAACAGUUUAAUCCACAGGUAGUUCCAGUCAGUUUUAAUCAUCGUUCUGUCUCACCCGCACCUCAGUUCCCCGUCAAGCCUCCAACAGGACAAACUCCUCAAAGUUGUCUCCAAGCUCCUGCAAGCCAGACGUAACGUACUCACCUUAGUGUUAUGCUAACCUGUGUUCUUGUUCUGCUACCGUGCAACAACAAGUGAUUCUGCGGUCGCUGUAGUCUCCUGUGAUUACCCCGAGCUGGUUCUGUCUCUGGCUAAUAAGAAGGAAGAGAACUUUACUGAGCAAUCCUUGACUGUGGCUUUGACAUCUGUGUUCCUGUCAAACUCACCUGUGUGAUUCCCCGCUCCAUGUGAAUUACAUACAAGCCUGCACUAGAAGAUCGAAGCUUCACCGUGCACUGAGGAACUGAAAACACUGAGCACAUGAAACCUUAUUCUAAUAAACACAGUUCUGAAUUCACCUUUACAUCUGUGUCCCGAGUCCUAUCUGACAGAUAUAGUCUUUUUCUCUAUCACACAAACUUUAAUUACUAAAACUCUCUCAGUAAUUCAAAUAAAUGCUAUAAUUAAUGUAAAAAAAGUGUAAACCUCCAUGUUGUACAUUAAAAAUAGUUUUAUACGCUGCUUGAUUAUUGUGGUAUAAUAUAAAUUUGCACCAUAUUCACUGCAGCAAUUGUAUCAAUAAUGUGAGCGUAUGAGUUUCUUAAUUUGUGAUGUGUAGAAUAGGAUUUGUGCACCUGCAAUGAAGAAUUUGAGAAGGUGUAACUGUUGUUUCUGUUUGUGGGAGAGAAAGAAAGUCUACAGGUUUACAACUCUUAAAACAUUUCUCUCUCACUUCAAACUUACUGAUACACAUGUGGCUUUUCUCUACAACUACAAACACACUGUCACAGGUGUUCAGUCAUUUUGACUCAAAAAUACCUUCAGAAAAUCCUCCCCUUCACACACACACACACACACACACACACACACACACACACACACACACACACACACACACAGACUGACUUACACAAAACCUGAAGGUCAUAAAUACACUUAAACUAAUGAGAUAAUGAGCUAAAUAACAGGUGAACAGAAUGAGUGACUAAACAGACUGAGGUCAAAUGACAACUAAAACACAAUGAAUAAAAAAAUUAGACAAGUGUUACAGUUACGUCAAUAUUUGCAAAGCCCUUUUUCCUUUUCCUCUCUGCAUUUUGCAGGUUGUAAUUUUCUUUUGGUUUUGUUGUCAUCAAGAACACGAGUUUCUCUCCUGGAGUGGACUUGUGCUCCUCAUCUGUGUUUGUGUGGUCAGUAUUUAUGCAGAAAGGAACUUGAUCUUCAACAACGCUUGGUGCGGUAAACAAGGUUCAAAUGAAUAUAUA